AUAUUCGCAUUGGGUUUUUUCUAAUUAUACUCACAAUGUUGCUUUGUUUCUAAUUUUGACAAUUUGUCCUGUGUCCUCAAACACAGUUAGGCUAAACUUCUCACUUCUUGGAGUUGCUUGAAGUCCAGAACCAGCCUGUCAGUGAAGUACAAGAGGAACCUCUUGGCAUGUCUAAAGCCAGCACAAAAAUAAUAGGUUCAGUAGAUGUGACUGAAACCCCAGCAGUCCAGAGGAGGAAAUAAGGCUGGACUGUCUUUUCUGUUAGAUCUUGCUUACAAAUUGAACUGCACAGCUCAUCUCUUACAAGACAAGUGAGUUAUCCUGAAGUCUCUGUAGAAAGGGUGUCAGCCCAUAAUGUGAUGGAUGGAUGGCAGAGCUUAUUCUAAAUGCUGACAGCUGAAGGCUGGUAAUGCUGCUGUGGAAGAGGUUUUAAAAAUGUCUUCAGUGGAAGUGACUAGCAAAUCCAUGCUUGCUUGAUUCACCUGGUUACACCUAUGAAUCAGACGAAGUUGUAGCACUAGAAUCCCAUAAUCUAAGACUAUUUUGCAACCGUGCAGCAGUUUGUUCGAGGAGAUCUCUGCAUAACCCGGCUGGAGAGCUACUCUUGGCGAGUUUCUCCCAGGGUCUGCCCUCCGCAGCACGCACCGCGUUUUGUAACGCUUCCCGGUGCACGCCGGGGCACAGGAACGCUAGAAGGGAAUCUGCUUUUACAACGUCUAACCCUUAAAACCUCCAAAUGAGAC